rnacentral:rRNA from 1 species
UACAGAGGUGGCAAGCGUUGUUCGGAAUUACUGGGCGUAAAGGGCGCGUAGGCGGUCUUGUAAGUCCCGUGUGAAAUCCCUCGGCUCAACUGAGGAACUGCACGGGAAACUGCUUGGCUUGAGUUCGGGAGAGGGAAGCGGAAUUCCGGGUGUAGCGGUGAAAUGCGUAGAUAUCGGGAGGAACACCAGUGGCGAAGGCGGCUUCCUGGCCUGUUCUUGACGCUGAGGCGCGAAAGCUAGGGGAGCAAACGGG